UAAAAAAAAUAAAUUUGGGGUCUUCCAAAAAGCGAUAUAAACCACCUCCACCUCCCUUGCCGGUUCCUCCAGGUCACGUCUCUGCCAUGCCUCCCGCAUCGGUGGUAAGAUCUAUUUCAGCAGGGGCAUCCUCACAGAUGUAAAGGUCUCGAGUUUGAGUUUAUUGGGAGCAUUUAGGUGGAUUCGGGUUUCGGAUUAUAGGUAUUCCAAAUCAAUCUCUUGGCUUUCGAUUUUCUGCUGCUUCUGCUUCUGCUUCGAGGAAGAAAAAAGCUUUCCUUCAAAGAUGAAGCAUAUUUAUGUGGCUAAACAGACUGCUAGUGGAACACCAAUGGCUUCAUGAACAGAAUAUUAAAUGGAUUUCUGGUUUUAGAAGUAGAAAGCAGCAGAGACUGAAGCAUCUUUCCAGUGAAAAUUUUGUUUUUGUUUUUGUUCUAAUUUUUUUCCCAAACAAAAAUUUUGGGAAGGGGGAAGUUUGAGAUUUAGAUCUCUGAAUUGACAUGCCAGUCUUUCAGGGUAAAUUUGAUAGAGCGGGUUGAGCACGUCCAUUCUGUAUCUUGUUAUCGGGUGUAGUUUGCUGGUUGGCUCGAUUAUGUUAUUUCCAAAUAUUUGUGUGCUAGCUAGGAUUAAUAUUAUAUGACACAUGCUUGGAAUGGAACUAGUAAUUGCACUUUCUCUUUGAUUCCUUUAAUGUCGAAGUAUUUCUUCCUUUUGCUGCUUUA